UAACUAGAUCCGUUAAUAUCCAAA
rnacentral:siRNA from 1 species